rnacentral:ribozyme from 13 species
UGAAAAUGUCCUUUUUGAAAGAAAUUCGUUCUCAGAAAAUGAUGAAACACAAAAAAACAAACUUUCAGAAACUGACUCUUUUCCCACCUUUUUUUCCCACUUUUCUUUUUUGUGUGUUCUGUUUUCAUUUGCCAUUUCC